rnacentral:rRNA from 1 species
GAUGAACGCUGGCGGCGUGCCUAAUACAUGCAAGUCGAGCGAACAGAUGAGGAGCUUGCUCCUCUGACGUUAGCGGCGGACGGGUGAGUAACACGUGGAUAACCUACCUAUAAGACUGGGAUAACUUCGGGAAACCGGAGCUAAUACCGGAUAAUAUAUUGAACCGCAUGGUUCAAUAGUGAAAGACGGAUUUGCUGUCACUUAUAGAUGGAUCCGCGCCGCAUUAGCUAGUUGGUAAGGUAACGGCUUACCAAGGCAACGAUGCGUAGCCGACCUGAGAGGGUGAUCGGCCACACUGGAACUGAGACACGGUCUAGACUCCUACGGGAGGCAGCAGUAGGGAAUCUUCCGCAAUGGGCGAAAGCCUGACGGAGCAACGCCGCGUGAGUGAUGAAGGUCUUCGGAUCGUAAAACUCUGUUAUUAGGGAAGAACAAAUGUGUAAGUAACUAUGCACGUCUUGACGGUACCUAAUCAGAAAGCCACGGCUAACUACGUG